CACGAUGGUCUGUGCACCCGGGGGUGGUGGCCACAGACCGGAGGGGGCGAGCGUGGGUGACUAACACAGCUCUGGGCAGCAGAGACAGGACAGAUACAGAGUAAGGGAGAAAAUGAAAGUAGCAACACUAAGCACUAGGCAUUUGCAGAAAUCACAUACAUAGAAGUGGGUGUACACUCCAGAAUCAAGAACAAACCACACUAUACACACACACAAACACCAAAGGUAC